CAGUAGCCGCGGUAAUACGAAGGGUGCAAGCGUUACUCGGAAUUACUGGGCGUAAAGCGUGCGUAGGUGGUGGUUUAAGUCCGUUGUGAAAGCCCUGGGCUCAACCUGGGAAUUGCAGUGGAUACUGGGUCACUAGAGUGUGGUAGAGGAUAGUGGAAUUUCCGGUGUAGCAGUGAAAUGCGUAGAGAUCGGAAGGAACAUCUGUGGCGAAGGCGACUAUCUGGGCCAACACUGACACUGAGGCACGAAAGCGUGGGGAGCAAACAGGAUUAGAUACCCGCCGUAGUCCCUGUCUCUUAUU
rnacentral:rRNA from 1 species